UAAGGAAUAUUGCGCAAUGGGGGAAACCCUGACGCAGCAACGCCGCGUGGAGGAUGACACUUUUCGGAGCGUAAACUCCUUUUAUCAGGAAAGAAUAAUGACGGUACCUGAUGAAUAAGCACCGGCUAACUCCGUGCCAGCAGCCGCGGUAAUACGGGGGGUGCAAGCGUUACUCGGAAUCACUGGGCGUAAAGGAUGCGUAGGCGGAUUAUCAAGUCUUUUGUGAAAUCUAGUGGCUUAACCACUAAACUGCUUAGGAAACUGAUAGUCUAGAGUAGGGGAGAGGUAGAUGGAAUUCUUGAUGUAGCGGUAAAAUCCGUAGAGAUCAAGAAGAAUACCCAUUGCGAAAGCGUUCUGCUGGAACCUAACUGACGCUGAAGCGUGAACGCGUGGGUAGCAAACAGG
rnacentral:rRNA from 1 species